AUUGAACGCUGGCGGCAUGCCUUACACAUGCAAGUCGAACGGCAGCACGGGAGCAAUCCUGGUGGCGAGUGGCGAACGGGUGAGUAAUACAUCGGAACGUGCCCAAUCGUGGGGGAUAACGUAGCGAAAGCUACGCUAAUACCGCAUACGUUCUACGGAUGAAAGCGGGGGAUCGCAAGACCUCGCGCGAAUGGAGCGGCCGGUGGCAGAUUAGGUAGUUGGUGAGGUAAAGGCUCACCAAGCCUGCGAUCUGUAGCUGGUCUGAGAGGACGACCAGCCACACUGGGACUGAGACACGGCCCAGACUCCUACGGGAGGCAGCAGUGGGGAAUUUUGGACAAUGGGCGCAAGCCUGAUCCAGCAAUGCCGCGUGCAGGAUGAAGGCCUUCGGGUUGUAAACUGCUUUUGUACGGAACGAAACGGUCCUUUCUAAUACAAGGGGCUAAUGACGGUACCGUAAGAAUAAGCACCGGCUAACUACGUGCCAGCAGCCGCCGUAA
rnacentral:rRNA from 1 species